CUCGGUGAAAUAGUCGGGAGUGAAGGGCUUGUUGGUGAUGAUCCGGCAGCAACCGUUCACAGUGCUGAAAAGCGUGGCCCACAGACCCGUGAUCCAGUCCAAGCUGGCUGAGACGAAGGAGACGUCCGUUGAGUUAAACUUACGAUGUCUCUUGGCAGAGAAUAUCGUUGGAGAUGCACACGGCCUUGGGCAGCCCUGUGGUGCCGGAUGAUGUGAGGAUGGCCACCGUUUGCUUGGGUCCUUCCUUCAAAGGAGUUGGCCUAAAGAGGGUGAAGUGGAACGUCAAAAAGAGUCUAAAAUCAUCUUCCAAAAGGUCCUUACUGAUAGUAGAUCUCCGUUUUGGUAGGCUCCAGCAGAUCCUGGACACUGAGAACGCCCUCCUUGGUGCCAGUGGUCAGGAUAAUCUCCGGCUUGAAGUCACUGGUGGCUGCAUACAACUUGUCGUAGUGCACAGCAUCGGUAAAAAUUACUUUUGGCUUGGAAAUGCUAUACAAGUGCUUUAAUGUAGCUAAAUAAACGAAUAUUUAAUUUAUUAAAAGAUCGGAUUGGCCGACUGGAAUGGAGUUCCGUUGAAGAAACAGGCCACGGCAACCGGCAUGAUGUAGGUGGUGUUCUUGGCCGAGAUGCCAACGACAUCGUUGUGGUCUAAACCACGACUCUUCAGGUUCUGGGCAAUGCGAACGGCCCAGGUGAAAGCCUGCUGAAAAGUGACCUUCACGCCGUCGGUGUCCGAAAUCUGCAAGAGCGUAAGCCAUGACGAUUUCCCGAAAAGCUAUGAGGGAUUCAAAGCUACAACUCACCUGGCAGACAUUGCUGGACCAGUUUCUCAUCGUCCUGAAGAUGAUCCGGCCAAUAGACACGUCGUCCCUGAAGGCAGGGUUCUGCGGGAUACCCUUCCAGAUCUUGUUCGCCGCAUCGUAGCUGCACGAAAAAAGGAGGCGGCGGAGGAGGAGGCGGUGGCGGUGGCGGUGGUGCUGGCGGUGGAGGUGGCGCUGGAAAUAAAAACAAAGCCGGCGGAGGAGGCGGUGACAAAGGCGGAGCCAAGAAAGGACAAGAGCAAAAGUCAGCCGCAGGCGGUGGCAAGAAAGGCGGAAAGAAAUAGCAACGGUGGCAACAUCAAAGCGCAUUAAAAAUUACAAAUUUAGAAUUAAGUUGAAAUUUAAUGUGGUAUCAGGGAAUAAAUAUGUAUCUAUAAUAUA